rnacentral:rRNA from 1 species
AUGUGUAUCCCCAAAGAAAGAGGAGGUAUGGGUUUUAGAUAUUUACAUUGUUUUGAAUUGGCACUAUUAACUAAGCAAUAUUGGAGGCUCUUGUCUGAGCCGGAUCUCUGUUCAAGGGUGUUGAGAGCAAAAUACUUCCAUGAUGGUGAUCUUCUCAAUUGUAAUCUAAAGAAGGGAAGUUCAUACACUUGGCAAACACUUGUGGGAGGGUAUCCAAAUUUUCAAAAGGGUAAAAUUUGGAGAGUGGGAGAUGGAACACAAAUUAAUAUAUGGGAUGACCCUUGGAUACCUAGCAGCCCCAUGAGGAGAGUGAUGACAAGGAGGGGAAACAUUGUAAUCACAAGAGUUCCUGAUUUGAUAAAUCUGGAGAAUAGGGAGUGGGAUGAGCAGCUCAUUAGAGAGCUCUUUUGGCCAGUUGAUGCACAGAGGAUACUUAACAUACCACUAGCCUUGGGGAUGAUGGAGAAUUUUGUGUCAUGGCACUACAGUAAGAAUGGGAUCUUUUAAGUCAGAACAACAUAUCAUGCUGAGUGGGAACACCAACAUGGACGAAAGUUGAGCAGGACAAUCUCCAUUGAAGGCUCGAGUACUAGUCCUAUCUUGUCCAUCCUAUGGAAGCUAUGUGUGCCAGCGAAUGUUAAGAUUCACUGCUGGAAGUCGCUACUUGGAGCCAUCCCUUGUCUUGGUGUGUUGGCCAAUAGACACAUGAUCACAAGCUCUCAAUGCCCCAUAUGCAAUGCAGAUUGCGAGAGUAUCAGGCAUGCUCUUUUUUGCCCACGUGUGCGAGACAUUUGGAGGAUUUUGGGACUGUCUAGUAUGGUGAAUGAUCUCUGCGAACUGGAUCGUGAAGGUGGUGCAGUGCUCGGACAAAUUAUGUUAACGCAGAAGGGUGCUGCUCCUCUUUUACCGGAUGUUGCUUGCAACGAUCUUAUUGUUGGGGAACGUAGUGAUUUUAAAAAAAUUCCUACGCACACAUAG